rnacentral:rRNA from 1 species
GAUGAACGCUGGCGGCGUGCCUAAUACAUGCAAGUCGAGCGAACAGACGAGGAGCUUGCUCCUCUGACGUUAGCGGCGGACGGGUGAGUAACACGUGGAUAACCUACUUAUAAUUCUGGGAUAACUUCGGGAAACCGGAGCUAAUACUGGAUAAUAUAUUGAACCGCAUGGUUCAAUAGUGAAAGACGGUUUUGCUGUCACAUAUAGAUGGAUCCGCGCCGCAUUAGCUAGUUGGUAAGGUAACGGCUUACCAAGGCAACGAUGCGUAGCCGACCUGAGAGGGUGAUCGGCCACACUGGAACUGAGACACGGUCCAGACUCCUACGGGAGGCAGCAGUAGGGAAUCUUGCGCAAUGGGCGCAAGCCUGACGGAGCAACGCCGCGUGAGUGAUGAAGGUCUUCGGAUCGUAAAGCUCUGUUAUUAGGGAAGAACAACUGUGUAAGUAACUAUGCCCGUCUUGACGGUACCUAAACAGAAAGCAACGGCUAACUACGUG